AACGAACGCUGGCGGCAUGCCUAACACAUGCAAGUCGAACGAGACCUCCGGGUCUAGUGGCGCACGGGUGCGUAACGCGUGGGAACCUGCCUUUAGGUUCGGAAUAAUUCAGAGAAAUUUGAGUUAAUACCGGUUGAUGUCUUCGGACCAAAGAUCUAGUGCCUGUGGAUGGGCCCGGGUUGGAUUAGCCUGUUGGUGGGGUAGAGGCCUACCAAGGCGUCGAUCGGGAGCUGGUAUGAGAGGAUGACCGGCCACAGUGGGACUGAGAUACGGCUCAGACUCAUACGGGAGGCAGCAGUGGGGAAUAGUGCAUAAUGGGCGGAAGCAUGAUGCAGAAACGCCGCGUGCGGGAUGACGGCCGUCGGGUUGUAAACAGAUUUAGCAGGUGACGAAGCGGGAGUGACGGUAAUGGGUAAAGAAGCACCGGCUAACUACGUG
rnacentral:rRNA from 1 species